CCCAACUGUCUCUUCGUUCCCAACUCCCGAUGUGUCCCGUGAUCUGUUACGUCGGCGCUGGAAUUAACCCCCUUCGAAUCGCCGAUUUAAGACUUCACCUCAGCAGCUGCAGAAUAUUUACCAGACAACACUGAGGCAGCAAGGCAACCUCUGCAAAAUUCUCCAGGUCCAUGGAAGCUGGAGUUGAUGAAGAGGAUUUCCAUCAAGGUUUCGGAGUGGAGUGGACCCCGCACCACACACAGUUCCCCCUGCUCACCAUCUGAAGAAGCCCAGUCCCUAAAUAGCAGGAGAGGCGGAAGCAAAUCUUCCCCCAACAUGCUGAGCUGACUUCAGUAGGGUGGGGCCGGUUGGUUACCUCUGGCCCAACCCAACACGGUGAGGGGACGGGUCUCUCGAUGUUAUUGUGGCUGUAAUCGGUCCAUUAGGUCUUUCCCGGGGUACCUGCAUCAGGACCCCCUUUCCACCCCAUCACAGUUCUGAGUUGCACGAAGGCUUAGUGUUUGGCCCCAAGUAAGUGCUCGUUAUUUAUUACGCACAUGUGUGGAGUCGGCUCGAAGCACGUUAACGUCCAACUUGGAGUCUAGCUGAUCAACAUUUUCAAGGAUUUUUGGAGUUGAGUGGUUGAUUAAUCUUGGAUGUUUUCAGAUCUUUACUUGAUCCUUUGAGUGAAUUGUUUUCUGCCACUCAGUGUUUUGUAUUAUCAAUAUUUGCACAGUACCAAGGGUGAGAGGAUAACUAGAAAUGCUAUAAAGCCAUUUUGAAUCCAGGCAAAUUUGUAAGGUAUUAAAACCCUCAUAGAAAAUGGUUUCUUAUAAAGUCUCCCGCUCAUAUUUUUAUACUUUGUAGAUCAAGAUAAGCAAACUUUCUCCAAAGCAUUUCUGACUUAUCUGGACUUAGCCAUCUAAUAUUAUGACAGUGAUCCAU